AUACGGAGGGUCCAAGCGUUAUCCGGAUUCAUUGGGUUUAAAGGGUGCGCAGGCGGGCUUGUAAGUCAGUGGUGAAAUACUGCCGCUUAACGGUAGAACUGCCAUUGAUACUGCAAGUCUUGAAUAUGGUUGAGGUAGGCGGAAUGUGUUGUGUAGCGGUGAAAUGCAUAGAUAUGACACAGAACGCCAAUUGCGAAGGCAGCUUACUAAGCCAUUAUUGACGCUGAGGCACGAAAGCGUGGGGAGCGAACAGGAUUAGAAACCCCUGUAGUCC
rnacentral:rRNA from 1 species